GUUGACUGAUUGUGUCAACUGGAGUAAGAGUUUAACUAAAUUGGCUCAGCAAUUCCACACCCUGCUGGCGGUCUGUUGCCUGGAUGGUGUAAGGGGGAAAUGAGGAAGGACGGAUCAGUUUCUGCUCCUUUGGGUGAGCUCCAGUCCUCGCCUUCACCUUGGACAUCAACUCCUGGCUUCCAGCGCUGAGCCUUCAGCCUUCUACCACAGACCCAUCGGCCUCCUGAUACAGACUCGCACAGGACACUGCAGUGAGCUCCAGACCCUGGACUGAACUGUUCCAUCCCCAGGGUGCAGACUACUCCUCCGACUUUGUGGGUGCCACUGGUUGGAUGGCAAACUUUAGACCCACGUGGAUGAUCCCACUGAAGGUUAAGGAAGACGCUCAGCUCAGCAGGAAAAUGUGCACCCCUGAUUAGCAAUGACCACUUCAGGCAAGUGGUGACCUGCAGCUAAGGCCUCACCUAAGAAUCGUCAGUCGGAUCUCAAAGCCUGGUUCAAGGUCAUCACCCCAAUAAGCUGAACACUGCAGAAAGCUCUUGAAAACAACACAGGAGAAGCCUGCUGAGCACCUGAGACAGCCUGGCGCCCACCUCGGUCCUGCACAAGGCAUGACCCGGCAGGGAGCACCCCCACGGGAAAACCCGGCAGGACUCACUCGGAG